UAUACUCGAAAAUCAAACAUAACGUACACCGAAAAUCUCUUUUCUAUUUGAGCUAAUUUCCCGCCCCUCUAUCACUCAAAUAGUACUACACAUAUCAGUAUACCCCAGUUGAUCAUCACCGCUACGGUUUUCAAUUUUUCAAAAAUCGAAGAAAAUGAAACGAAUUCGCAAGCAAAAGAAACCUGAAAUUCCAAAGCUGAUGUUAGAGGAAAUUGUUGGUUUCACAACUGCGAAUGCGAAUGGAUUGGCUUCUGGAGUUUUGAAUUCGAAAUGUGUGUAUAUUGCGGGAUGUGUUGCGGUGGUUUAUGACGUGGAUUCCUCCACGCAGUCGCAUUUGGUGGUUUCCAAUCGGUUGCCUAAGCCGUUGAGCUGUAUCGCGGUUUCGCGUGACGGACGUUUUAUUGCUGCUGGAGAGUCAGGACCUCAUCCUGCAGUAGUGAUAUGGGAUGCAGCAAGUUUGGCUCUGAAAUACGAAUUGAAGGCUCAUCAACACGGCGUAGCAUGCAUUGCCUUAUCACCUGAUGGCAAACACCUUGCUUCUGUUGGAUAUCCUCAUGAUGGAUAUGUUUGCCUCUGGGAUUUUCAAAGUCAGACUUUAAUUACAAAAUGCAAGGGGUUCUCACCAAGUUCUGCAGUUGCAUCUGUUAGCUUCUCAUCAGAUGGAAGAUUCUUUAUCACCGCAGGAAAGAAGCACCUGAAGUUCUGGAAAUUGGGAUUAUCUACCAGAUCUCGCAUGAUAGCUAGAACAGCAUCAGGAGCAACUGGAAAGCAAGUUAAUCUUGGUCAUUAUAAAGGAUGCUCGUUCAUAGCUGUUGCAUCUCCCAUGUGGACUGAGAGUAGUCUCCAAGAUCACAUUCAAGCUGUUGAAGCUUCACAUGUUUAUGCGCUGACAGAAGCAGGGGUUUUGUGCCUUCUAAACUCGAAGAUGACUAUUGCAAAUUCUGUUGAAUUACAGGUUGAGAAAGGCUUUGGACUAUCUGUAUCCAGAAAGUUGGUUGCUUGUGCAUGCAAUAAUGGACAAGUUAAACUUUUUUCUCCAAACUCUCUUUCAUAUGCUGGAAGCUUAUACUAUCCUGAAACCAGAUGCAGUAAAGAAAGUGUUACAGACUGCCAUAUAGUGAAUGGAAAAAAUGGAGAUGAGCAGUUGCAGAGUCUACCUAAUGCAAUUGCUUGUCAAUUUUCAACAUUGCAAAAACUUGUUGUGAUCUAUGAUGAUCGCAGCCUUUUCAUAUGGGAUGUUCAGGAUGUUGACAAGGCUAGCAGGUGCUUUGUACUAGUUUCACAUAGUUCUUGCAUAUGGGACAUCAAGAAUUUCUCAUGCGAAAACAUGCAUGACCCCUCCAAAGCAUGUGUUGCUAAAGGCUGUUCUGGUGGAGUUUCUUUUGCAACAUGCUCAGCUGAUGGCAGCAUCAGGUUGUGGAAUUUUGAAUUACAAUCUAGCUCAUUCGACAGUAGUGGCUUACCUCUUCCAACAGAAGAAAACUCUAUGAGUACCCUUUCAUCAGGCUCUACACAUUUAGAGAGGACUGGUGUUUUUGAACGUGAUUCUCUGGUAUCAGGCUUUGCCUCUACAGGUUAUCGUUCAAUGGCAGUCAGUUCAGAUGGACAGUAUCUGGGAGCUGGUGAUUUCUUGGGAAACCUUCAUAUAUUCAACCUACACACUGCUAAUUAUAUGUGCAUCCAGGGUGCACAUGACGGCGAAAUUCUAUCACUGAGUUUUAGUUUGCAAAGCAUUGACGCACCUGCUGAUAAGUUUCCACACAGUCAAUAUUUUCUUGCCUCCGGGGGAAAGGAUGGCAUGAUUCAUCUCUAUGAUGUUCAAAGGAACUUUGACCUCAUCGGAAGUUUUCGUGAUCAUUCUGCUCCUGUGACCUGCGUGAAAUGCGCUUGCAGUGGCACUAAGAUUCUCAGUUGCAACGCAGAUAGGUCUCUGGUUUUCUGUGAUGUUUCUAUGAUCGAAUCAGCGUACAAGAUAUCGUGCUAUCAUCGAGUCUUACCGGGAGUUGUAUAUGACAUGGCAGUCGAUGCUUCCACCGAGUUUGCUGUCACUGUAGGACAGGAUAAGAAGAUUAACACAUUCAGCAUUCCUUCUGGGAAGUUAAUCAGGUCAUUCAAGCAUAUUGGAGGGGAUCCCAUCAAGGUAUCUGUGGACCCCAGCUCUAGUUAUCUGGUUUGCUCCGACUCUUUUAAGAUUCUCUGCUUAUAUGACAUUAUGGCUGGGGAUAUGGUCGCACAAGCAGUCGGGCAUGGUGAUGUUAUAACCGGUGUUAUCUUUUUACCUGACUGCAAGCAUCUUGUUUCUGUAAGCAGUGAUGGUUGUAUCUUUGUUUGGAAAGUCCCUGGUUCUUUUUCGUCAAGGAUGCUGUGGAAAAUUAAGGAAAAUGCUUGUCCGCUAUCCCCAGCAAAAUUUGCUCCUCCAGCAACUUCAGGUCAACUCAAACUUCAUGAGGUUAAUUGCCAUCAACCUGAAGGCAUAUCUAUGACCCCAAACCGCUUACAAGUAAAUCAGAGAUUACUCUGUCGAGAAGGGAGUUCACCAGCGACAGCAUUUAAAUUCAGUAUUUCAAGACUCCCAAAAUGGGCACAAGCCAAAGUUACUAAGAUGACUGACCCUAUUUCCUUAUCCUCAAAGACUGAAAAAACUGGAUCAGCCGAUACACAGCGACCAACCUGUGAAACUGUCCUUGUGUAUGAAGAGGCACUACAUAAUUUGGAUGUUGCAGCUGAGAGAGCAUUGCAGUUGUUUUCUAGAUUAGCAAAUCAGCAUGGGAGAAUAGAGAGUUCAAGGGAGCAUGAAAAUCAGUUAUUGGCCAAGGCAGCAGAAAUGCUUGUGCCAAUAGCAAACAAAAUCCAUGCUACUGCCAAAAUGGCACAAUCUGCCAACACUGGUUCCAAUGGGAAUGCCAAAAUGGAUAUUUCAUAUUUCAACCAUUGAAAUUUGAUAUUAUUAGAUAAAAACUGAUCCACAUUAACUAGUCAAGCUUAAGGGUUGCCACCUCUUGUUAUCUCAGCACUUUUGGAAGCUUUACUGGUUUUCAUGCUACAGGAUCUAUAUAGAAUACCUUGCUUUCACAUCUGGAGGACACAAGCCCCUUUCUAAGUGGCAUUGCUCCUAAUGGCUUGUUGCCACUUUGACAAGGACGCAUGUAACACAGGACAAUCUUCAAAGAGGUGGAUUUACUUUGUGCAACAGAUACCAUUUAUGUGGAAAUGUCAGCCACCUCUUUAUAUAUAGCAAUGUGCCUGCUCAACUUUGGGAAAUAUUCUUGAACAUUGCUGAUUUGAAGUGGGUAAUGCCAAAGACUACAACCCGAUUACUUCACUGCUGGAACAAAAAGAAAGAAGGCACACGGGUGGAACAAACCUGUAUUUGGUGGACAAUAUGGAAGGAGCGGAACCUCAAAAGUUUUGAAGACAAAGCAAACUUCUACUCAACAGAUCAAAUCUAAUUGUACAUUCAACUUUUCUUUUCGAUGUAAAGAGGAACUAUUUAAUGAAGCAUAAUCAAUACUUAACCUUUUAGAAUUCCAACA